UACGUAGGGCGCAAGCGUUAUCCGGAAUUAUUGGGCGUAAAGAGCUCGUAGGCGGUUUGUCGCGUCUGCUGUGAAAACUCGGGGCUUAACUCCGGGCUUGCAGUGGGUACGGGCAGACUAGAGUGCGGUAGGGGAGAUUGGAAUUCCUGGUGUAGCGGUGAAAUGCGCAGAUAUCAGGAGGAACACCGGUGGCGAAGGCGGGUCUCUGGGCCGUAACUGACGCUGAGGAGCGAAAGCGUGGGGAGCGAACAGG
rnacentral:rRNA from 1 species